rnacentral:rRNA from 1 species
CGGUAAUACAGAGGGUGCAAGCGUUAAUCGGAAUUACUGGGCGUAAAGCGAGCGUAGGUGGCUUGAUAAGUCAGAUGUGAAAUCCCCGGGCUUAACCUGGGAACUGCAUCUGAAACUGUUAGGCUAGAGUAGGUGAGAGGGAAGUAGAAUUUCAGGUGUAGCGGUGAAAUGCGUAGAGAUCUGAAGGAAUACCGAUGGCGAAGGCAGCUUCCUGGCAUCAUACUGACACUGAGGCUCGAAAGCGUGGGUAGCAAACAGGAUUAGAUACCCUGGUAGUCCACGCCGUAAACGAUGUCUACUAGUCGUUGGGUCCCUUGAGGACUUAGUGACGCAGCUAACGCAAUAAGUAGACCGCCUGGGGAGUACGGCCGCAAGGUUAAAACUCAAAUGAAUUGACGGGGGCCCGCACAAGCAGUGGAGCAUGUGGUUUAAUUCGAUGCAACGCGAAGAACCUUACCUGGUCUUGACAUACACAGAAUCUUGUAGAGAUACGAGAGUGCCUUCGGGAAUUGUGAUACAGGUGCUGCAUGGCUGUCGUCAGCUCGUGUCGUGAGAUGUUGGGUUAAGUCCCGCAACGAGCGCAACCCUUGUCCUUAGUUACCAGCACUUCGGGUGGGAACUCUAAGGAUACUGCCAGUGACAAACUGGAGGAAGGCGGGGACGACGUCAAGUCAUCAUGGCCCUUACGACCAGGGCUACACACGUGCUACAAUGGUAGGUACAGAGGGCAGCUACACAGCGAUGUGAUGCGAAUCUCAAAAAGCCUAUCGUAGUCCAGAUUGGAGUCUGCAACUCGACUCCAUGAAGUAGGAAUCGCUAGUAAUCGCGGAUCAGAAUGCCGCGGUGAAUACGUUCCCGGG